GGAGGAUAAGGCUAAAGACAGAGGCUCCAGCUACCUUGGUGACAAGGAAUGGAGGAGAAAAGGAACAGGAAAUUUUAAUAAGAUUAGGAGGGCUUGCUUUUCUGCCAAGUGAGCCGCUUUCACAGGAGCGAUAAAUUGGAAAUGUUAUCUGGCUUGAUAUGCCAGUUUUUCUGAGAAAAUCACUCUGCCAGUGGUGACAGAAUGGAAGAGCUGAAAACAUCUUCUUUUUUCAAAGUCAUAUGUCACGAACCAAGGAGACUCCAAAAAAUAAAUUAUGGAAGAUUAUGACCACUGCUGCCAAGGAUACAGUGAAAUAGGUACAUCUUGUAUGCCCAGUAAUGUUGAAAAUUAAUAUAACCUUAUUUAAAAAGCAAUUUGGAGAUGUUGAAAGAAAGCCUGAAGAUUACCACCAUGCUUCAUGAUUCUAUCCAGGUGUCCCACAUAUGAGAGCCAAUUCCAAAGAAAUAACUACAACUUGGAAAAAACUAUAUGCAUAAAGAUGUUCAUUAUGGUGUUAGCUAUAGCAGCAAAACAAAAAAAAAAAACACAGAAAAUGUUUGCAAGAAUUCCCAAAUAGAAAAUUAUUAAGUCAGCUAUGACAUUUUCCCAGUAGGAUAUUCUGCAGCACUUAAUAUGAAAGUCACUAAGUUUACAUGGAAAAAUACCUGAAGCAUAAUCUUAAGUUAAAAUAAAUCUAAAUAUACUUAUAUGCUAUAGUUGCACUUUUUAAAAAAUAUGACAGACAGCAUGAAAUAUCCAGAAUAGGCAAAUUCAUAGAGACCAAAAGACAGGCAUAGUGGUUGCCACAGGCUGGAGGAAGAAAAGAAUGUGGAGUGACUGCUAAUGCAUAAAAUGGGUUUCCUUUUGGGGUGAUAAAAAUGUUCCAGAACAAGAU
rnacentral:lncRNA from 10 species